rnacentral:lncRNA from 1 species
CACAGAUAUAUAUAAAGUAUAUUUCUAUUUUAUAUGCAAAGUGUUCAAUGGAUGAUUAUCUAAAUUGCUACCUCUUUCCUUCUAAAAUAAAAAGAAGUUUUGAUCCCUCAAAUGAAGAGACUUACAGCAUUUGGGGGAAGUUGGACCCUGAGGCAGUAGUCACAGAAUGGGGAGAGCUGGACCAGGAGACAUGAGUGAAGAGAGGAGGCGGUGUGAGAAUGUGGAGGAUAUGGCACUCAUCCAUGUGACUGUGUCGCACUGGGGCUUCAUAAUCUAUGAACUCCUGAGUCCACUGAGUUCUAGGAACUAUGGAACAGUUAGCACAGUAUGUAUUUCUUUGAUAUUUGUAUUUCAAUAAAUAUAAAUAAUUCAAAUGUUUAAGUUAAAAAUGUUUUUUUAAAAAAUGAUAA